rnacentral:rRNA from 1 species
UACGGAGGGGGCAAGCGUUAUUCGGAAUUAUUGGGCGUAAAGGGCGCGUAGGCGGCUAGAUGUGUCAAAGGUGAAAUCCCUCGGCUCAACUGAGGAACUGCCUUUGAAACUGUCUGGCUUGAGGCCGGGAGAGGGUAGCGGAAUUCCCAGUGUAGCGGUGAAAUGCGUAGAUAUGCGGAGGAACACCGAUGGCGAAGGCAAUCCCCUGGGCCUGUACUGACGCUCAUGCACGAAAGCGUGGGGAGCAAACAGG